GACCCAUGAUGAGGGAACCAUAUCAAUAAAUCCUUGUAUUUCUUCUAUGCAUCAUAUAAAGUCUCUAAAUUGAUCUGAACAAAGGAAGAGAUCUCAUUCCUCAACUU
rfam:Gossypium arboreum cultivar AKA8401 contig_58490_3, whole genome shotgun sequence.